rnacentral:rRNA from 1 species
CCUACGGGAGGCAGCAGUCGGGAAUAUUGCGCAAUGGAGGAAACUCUGACGCAGUGACGCCGCGUGCAGGAAGAAGGUUUUCGGAUUGUAAACUGCUUUAGACAGGGAAGAAAAAAGACAGUACCUGUAGAAUAAGCUCCGGCUAACUACGUGCCAGCAGCCGCGGUAAUACGUAGGGAGCAAGCGUUAUCCGGAUUUAUUGGGUGUAAAGGGUGCGUAGACGGAGAAGCAAGUUAGUUGUGAAAUCCCUCGGCUUAACUGAGGAACUGCAACUAAAACUACUUCCCUUGAGUACUGGAGAGGAA